UAGGCUCCUCCUUUUAUAGGCUAAGGAGGACCAUAAUGCAACCCUAAUGCUAGCCAAAUGAAAUGUAAAUGUGAAGCACAUUGGUGCACAUGGCACAUGGGUGCACAAAUGAGCACAUGGGGAGGGGUGUGUCUAGUUUUUAUGCUCACCCCCUCCAUGGGCUUUCUAGACCGGCCUUGGUAAAUUUAGAGGUUUUUUUAGAAACUCUAAGUUUACCUAGGUUGGUGUUUUAGGUGCCAAAAUUAAUUCUAAGAAAAUUACAAAUAAAGUUCCUAUGCUAAUUUUGACAAGAAAUUAAAGUCUACUCUACACUAGAGUUUAUGGCAUUUGAACAUGUAAAAGAACGUCUUCUUGGAUCCUCUUGGCCAUAACUCUAUGGUUGGCCCAAAUCUACCCUUUGGUGGGCUUGCAUGUGGGCUUGUGCUUGGGCCUCUUCCAUCAUCCCCUCCCUCUUGAAAAGGAUUUGUCCUCAAAUCCAAUACUUUUGCUUCCUAGGGGAUGGUUGUGGCUGGAUGGUGUCCAUCAUCUCCUCCUUCUUUGAGAAGAUCUAUCCUCAGAUCUUCAGGCUUGAUCUCGGAUAGCAGCCUCUUGCUUCGCCAAAGCUUGUCCUCCUGGAUCAAACGUCCACCUAUAGAAAUAAUCAAAUAAGGCAUAGGUGUUAGUUUGCAAAUUAAUUUUACUAGGUUGCCAUUUUUGUUUGUCUUUUGGUUU
rnacentral:lncRNA from 1 species